ensembl:lncRNA
GGUCUGUCUGUGUGUACAGAUCUCUCAGCGGCUGUGGACCUGUCUGUGUGGGAACACUAUUCUUCUUCAAUAAUGCCAAGGACACUCACGUAACUGUUACACACUAAGUCUGAUAUGUCAUUGCGUUUGUACUGUUGAUCUGUUGCAGUAUGUGGAGAAGAUGGACCUCAGUGGCUUUGUCUCACUGAAAGACGACUGCAGCCGAGACAGAAACCUGGAAGCAGCUACAAUCAUCCUACGCAUGACGGAUGGAGAGAACUCACAAUGCCUGUGAGCUCACAUUGGACCCAAUUACAGCAAGCAGAGAGCUGCGUCUGUCUGAAGGCAACAGGAAAGUAACAAUUAUGAGAGAGAAGCAGCCUCAUCCUGAUCACCCAGAGAGAUUUGAAGACUGGUAUCAGGUGCUGUGUAAAGAGGGCCUAACUGGGCAGUGUUACUAGGAGGCAGAGUAUAGUGUUUGGGCUGGUAUAGGAGUGGCAUAUAAAGGAAUCAGCAGGAGAGGAAGUUUUAUUGUUUGCUUAGAUACAAUAUGAAGUCCUAAGUGCUUUGAUAAUGGUUACACUGCAUGGCACAAUAAUGAGUACUGCCAUGCCUGUUCCCUCCCUUCAGUCCCACAGAAUAAAAACACUCCUAGAUUGGCCAGCUGGUAAUGUGUCCUUUUACACUGUCUCAUCAGACACACUGACCCACCUGCACACAUUCCACACCACAUUUGUCUAUCCAGAGUUUUGGGUUUGGUGGUUUGACACAUCAGCAUCCCUGUGUAACCUGGAAUAACCUAAAAAAUAACUGUACUACACUAAUAAGUACAGAAACAUGAUUGAUACUGUAGUCACAUUUCUCACUGUUAGAGGUGAAGGCAUAUACUGAACAAAAAUAUAAACGCAACACGUAGGUCACAUUUUUCAUGUGCUGGCCUCAUUUUGACUUGUUUUAAGGACAUUACAUCAAAGUUGGAUCAGCCUGUAGUGUGGUUUUCCACUUUAAUUUUGAGUGUGACUCCAAAUCCAGACCUCCAUGGGUUGAUAAAUUUGAUUUCCAUUGAUAAUUUUUGUGAUUUUG